rnacentral:rRNA from 1 species
UAAAUAGACCUAUUACACUAUUAGGUGGAUGACUUGGCUUGGGUAGUGAUGAAGGGCGUGGCAAGCUACGAAAUGCUAUGGCGAGGCGCAUGCAGCCAUUGAACCAUAGAUUCCUGAAUGAGACUUCUUGUCUUAUGACAUUCCGAAAGGAAAACUCACCCAGGGAAGUAAAGCGUUACAGUACCUGGAGGAAAAGAAAUCAAUUGAGAUGCUGUCAGUAAAGGCGAUUGAACACAGCAGAGAGCAAACUGAAUCUUACCAGAAAUGGUUAAGAGAUGUGGUGUUGCAGGACUUGUUUUUAGUCUUAUUUGUUUGAUUCAAAGUCUGCUGGAAAGCAGUACCAUAGAGGGUGAUAGUCCCGUAGAAGUAGAACAAAAGAUGUACAAGUAUCCUGAGUAGGAUGCAUUGGAAAUUGCGUCUGAAUCUGGGAGGCAUCAACUCCUAACUCUAAAUAUAACCCAAGUCCGAUAGAGUAUAGUACAGUGAUGGAACGUUGAAAAGAACCCAUUACAGGGAGUCAAAAGAGCCUGAAACCUAAUAGUUAUUGAGAGAUACGGCCUUUCGGGGUUGUAUCGUGCGUUUCGAAUAACGAGCCAGGGAGUUCUUUUCUGUGGCAAGGGUAAGUGAUAUCAUCACGCACCCAUAGCUAAAGCAAUUGUCCGCAGCUUUUUGUCAGGGACAUGGUGUUAAUGCGCCAAAAGUCACAGGGAAGUUACCCGAAACCGGUCGAUCUAACCUACAGCAGGAUGAAGUGAACCUGACGGUUUGUGGAAGUCCGAAGCGGUGCUGUGUGCAUGCGUUCGUGUGACUGUUGGUUAGGGGUGAAAAGCCAAUCGAGAUCGGUAAUAGCUGGUUCCUGCCGAAAUAAGCCUUAGUUUAGUCUCGACGGAGGUCGCCUGUGAGGUAGAGCCACGGAUUUGUGGGUUUGGGGAGGAAACUCCUCGCCCACUUGUUCAACUCCGAAUGUGCAGGCAUCGUAGAAGUCGGGAAAAAGGGGCGCGGGGUAAACUUGCGUCUCUAUGGGGGAACAACCCCCUCUAUGGUUAAGGUCCCAAAAUAUCCGCUAAGUGUUAAAGGGCGAAAGGUGUAUGUCACCCGAGACAGAUGGGAGGUAUGCUUAGAAGCAGCAAUCCUUUAAAGAAAGCGUAACAGCUCACCAUUCAAGGUCACGUGCCCUGAAAAUGGACGGGGCUAAGUGGAUUACCGAUACCAUAGUCCUCCGUAAGGAGUGAGGUAGGCAGGCGCCUUGCAUGGGCAGAAGCCUUUUCGUAAGAAUUGGUGGACCGUGUAGGGAUGAGAAUCCUGGUAGUAGUAGGAUCUAUAUACGGUGAGAAUCCGUAAUGCCGAAAGCCCAAGGGUUUCUUCGCAAUGUUCGUCAGCGAAGAGUAAGUCGGUCCUAACCCAAGUCCUAAUUGGUCUAGUGGGAAGGGGAAACAGGUUAAGAUUCCUGUACUAUAUAUGUACGCGCGGCAACGCAAGGCAUAUUUCUGACAUUUUAGGCUAUACCAACAAGUAUCGUCGUACUUGCUAACUUCUAUAAAUUCGGUGAGUAUCGUAAUGAUGAGACCCGAAUUAAAGGAGGAAUGGCGGUUCUGUGGAUCGUUUGGUAGAGGCCUGGAAUCAGUGAAAAGGGAAUGUGCAAGGAUCAUAUAUAUCCGUACCAAGAACCAGCACUGGUGGGCUGGCAGAGAAAGCCAAGGCAUGAAGGUUUAAACUAGUUUAGGGAAUUCGACAGAUUAGCCCUGUACCUUCGGUAUAAAGGGUCCCUGCGUCUGUAUAUUUAAUAUGCGGAUACAGGGUUCAAAGAUCAAGGGGCUCCGACUGUUUAAUAAAAACGUAGCGUUUCGCAAGUCCGCAAGGAUGUGUAUGGAACGUGACAUCUGCCCAGUGCCUGUAUCUCAAACUCCCUUUCAAGGGAACUAAGGACAGGUAAACGGCGGGAAUAACUAUGAUUCUCUUAAGGUGAAAGGUUGCCUUAGUAAAAUUUGGCUAUAUGCUGGAACAUCUGAGUAUCUCACACUACCUUUCGAAUUAACUUCGAUUAAUUUGUAAUGAUGUUUAUUAAUAUCAAAAACAAAAGGUGAAAAUGUGGUGAGUGCAGACAAUCAGCAGGAAAGACUAGAUGCAAACUGGAUAUCAGGAUUUGUUGACGGCGAGGGUUGUUUUCAUAUAGCAAUCAAUAAGCUUGAAAAAAUGACACUCGGAUGGCAAGUACUUCCAGAGUUUAGGGUUGUUCAACAUGAAAGAAGUGAACAAGUUCUCCAUAAGAUUAAAUCUUAUUUUGGAUUUGGUUCAGUUGGAAUUAACAACAACGACAGAAAAGAAUUUCGUGUUAGAGGAUUAAAUAACUUAAAUAAAAUAAUAACUUUUUUUAAGAAAUAUCCUUUACACACAGUAAAGAAAAAUAACUUUGAAGUUUUUUCUGACGUAAUUCACAUGAUGAACAAUAAAGAACACUUAACAAAAGAAGGGCUUGAUAAAAUAGCAAACCUAAUUUCUAAAAUGAAUCGCAGACCGCGACUCAAAUAUCUAGAAUCCUCAGAGACUACACGCCAAACACUUGGUAACAAGUGAUGAUAUAGUCCGAUCCUUGCAGCGAUGUAAGGAGCUAAACAGAAAUGGUUUAGUCACAUUAGAAAUAAUGUAGUAACAAAUUGAGCGCAAUACCCUGCCGAUUGAAUGUCGGCUUGCAUGAAUGGUGUAACGAGGGUCCCAUUGUCCCAAACUAGUGUCCUCUGAAUAUACUAUACUGGUGUGAAGGCCAGUGACCUCCAGUGGGAAGCGAAGACCCCGUAGAACUUUACUACAGCUUGUCGUUGUGGUAUAAUACUUAGUAUAUAGUAUAAGUGGGAGCUGUUUGAUGGUUAGUUCGUUAGAGCUAAUCGUAGGCGACCGUGUAAUACCACUUUCUUUGUGUUGUAUCACUAACUCGUAUACGAGGACAUCGACUGGUGGGUAGUUUGGCUGGGGCGGCACCCCGCUGAAAAGGUAUCAGUGGGGCCCAAAGGUAAGCUCAUUUGGUUUAGAAAUCCAAAGUAGAGUGCAAGAGCAAAAGCUUGCCUAACUGAGUUCCAACCGUUAAGGUACUCAGAGACGAAAGUCUGGUCUAGCGAACCCCUAUGUCCUUAUUGAUGAGGGCUAGGUAUGACAGAAAAGCUAUCUCGGGGAUAAUUGAGUUGUAGCGCCUAAGAGUUCAGAUCGACGGCGCUGCUUGCUACUUCGUUGUCGGCUCUUCGCAUCCUGGAAGUGCAGAAGCUUCCAAGGGUACGGGUGUUCACCGGUUAAAGCGGAUCGUGAGCUGGGUUAAGAACGUCGUGAGACAGUUUGUAUGAUAUCUACUGGGGGUGUCAAAGUCUGAGUGGAAGGAUCUUUUAGUACGAGAGGAACAAAGGUUCGGCGCCACUGGUUUACCAGUUGUCCGACAGGGCAGGCUGGGCAGCUACGCGCCAAGGGAUAAGAGCUGAAAGCAUCUAAGCUCGAAACCCGCCGCGAAAAUAGACUAAGAGUACCUGAAGAAUACAGGUUUGAUAGGGUCGGGGUGUAAGUACCGAGGUAACGAGGUAUUCAGCCCGCGACUACUAAUAACUCGACUUAUCUAUUUA